rnacentral:rRNA from 1 species
GACGAACGCUGGCGGCGUGCUUAACACAUGCAAGUCGAACGAUGAAGAAGAGAAACGCGAACUUCGGUUCAAAUUUCACUUCGGAUUAGUGGCAGACGGGUGAGUAACGCGUGAGCAACCUACCUCUUACAAAGGGAUAGCCUCGGGAAACCGUGAUUAAUACCAUAUGACACAUUCAUAAGGCAUCUUAAGAAUGUUAAAGCUACGGCGGUAAGAGAUGGGCUCGCGUCCCAUUAGCUAGUUGGUGAGGUAACGGCCCACCAAGGCGACGAUGGGUAACCGGCGUGGGAGGGUGGGCGGUCACGUUGGAGCUGGGGCACGGUCCGGACUCCGACGGGAGGCGGCGGUGGGGAAUAUUGCACGAUGGAGGGAACUCUGAUGCAGCGACGCCGCGUGAGCGAUGAAGGAAUUCGUUGCGUAAAGCUCUGUUCUAUGGGAAGAAAAGGACUGUACCAUAGGAGAAAGCCCCGGCUAAAUACGUG